UACAGAGGUCUCAAGCGUUGUUCGGAUUCAUUGGGCGUAAAGGGCGCGUAGGCGGCGGGGUAAGUCGGGUGUGAAAUCUCAGAGCUCAACUCUGAAACUGCACUCGAUACUGCUCUGCUUGAGGACUGGAGAGGAGACUGGAAUUCACGGUGUAGCAGUGAAAUGCGUAGAUAUCGUGAGGAAGACCAGUGGCGAAGGCGGGUCUCUGGACAGUUCCUGACGCUGGAGGCGACGAAGGCCAGGGGAGCAAAGCGGG
rnacentral:rRNA from 1 species